rnacentral:tRNA from 1 species
GUGGCUCAAUGGUAGAGUGCUUGCCUUGCAUGCAUGAGGCUCUGGGUUCAAUUCCUCAGC